UGGAUCCUUCCCAGAAGGCGGAGUGGUUCCAACAACCGAGCUGUCUGGUAGCCACCAGCCUAGAACAUUAUUUUCAGGCCCAAGGAAGCAGUAUCGAGGUUUAAAGCAUAAGCUACUGAAGAGGCUAUUCUGUUAUCUGUGGUGUCUAUGCUGGACACACUGGCAUGCCCAGCCUGCACUUCCAGACCCAUCACUUUACCCCCCCCCCCCCCAACACAGCCAGCUCUGUGUCUUUAGAUGUUCUUAGACCCAGUCAAUGGUGGACUUGUACAAGCGUUUGGAGGGCAGAAAACCAGAAGUCUAGAAUACUGUCAUGUGUAUCCAUUAAAAUGCUCAUGGUUAAGCCA
rnacentral:lncRNA from 1 species